CAACUGAAUGAUCUCUCGGAUGCCCGUGAGGGCGUAACAGGGAAGUCCGGUGAAAAACCGGCGCGGUCCCGCCACUGUAAGUGGGAAGCGACCCCCGUUCAGGCCACUCGACUCAAAGGUCGGGGAAGGCUGGGGGAAGCGUUGAGGGUCUUACCUUCUGAACCCACAAGCCAGGAGACCUAUCCGAGGUGACAUGGCAUU
rnacentral:ncRNA from 2 species